rnacentral:rRNA from 1 species
UACGUAGGGUGCAAGCGUUGUCCGGAAUUAUUGGGCGUAAAGAGCUCGUAGGCGGUUUGUCGCGUCGAAUGUGAAAACCCGGGGCUCAACCCCGGGCCUGCAUUCGAUACGGGCAGACUAGAGUUCGGUAGGGGAGUCUGGAAUUCCUGGUGUAGCGGUGAAAUGCGCAGAUAUCAGGAGGAACACCGGUGGCGAAGGCGGGUCUCUGGGUCGUAACUGACGCUGAGGAGCGAAAGCGUGGGGAGCGAACAGG